CUCCCUGUGGCUCAGUUGGUCGAGCAUGGUGUUUGCAACGCCAGGGUUGUGGGUUUGAUUCCCACGGGGGGC
rfam:Salmo salar isolate Sally breed double haploid chromosome ssa01, whole genome shotgun sequence.